rnacentral:rRNA from 1 species
CCUACGGGAGGCAGCAGUGGGGAAUAUUGCACAAUGGGGGAAACCCUGAUCCAGCGACGCCGCGUGAGUGAAGAAGUAUUUCGGUACGUAAAGCUCUAUCAGCCGGGAAGAAAAACAGUCCUUGUGACUUUGGACGGUACCUGACUAAGAAGCCCCGGCUAACUACGUGCCAGCAGCCGCGGUAACUCGUAGGGAGCAAGCGUUCGCCGUAUUUACUGGGUGUAAAGGGAGCGUAGGCGGCAGCGCAACGCAGGCGUGAAAGGCCGGGGGCCAACCCCCGAACUGCUUUGGAAACUGGGCAGCUGGAGUGCAGGAGAGGUAAGCGGAAUUCCUGGUGUAGCGGUGAAAUGCGUAGAUAUUAGGAGGAACACCAGUGGCGAAGGCGGCUUACUGGACUGUAACUGACGUUGAGGCUCGAAAGCGUGGGGAGCAAACAGGAUUAGAUACCCUUGUAGUC